rnacentral:rRNA from 1 species
AUAAGCCUGGGAAACUGGGUCUAAUACCGAAUAUGACCACGCUCUUCAUGGGGUGUGGUGGAAAGCUUUUGCGGUGUGGGAUGGGCCCGCGGCCUAUCAGCUUGUUGGUGGGGUAAUGGCCUACCAAGGCGACGACGGGUAGCCGGCCUGAGAGGGUGACCGGCCACACUGGGACUGAGAUACGGCCCAGACUCCUACGGGAGGCAGCAGUGGGGAAUAUUGCACAAUGGGCGCAAGCCUGAUGCAGCGACGCCGCGUGAGGGAUGACGGCCUUCGGGUUGUAAACCUCUUUCACCAGGGACGAAGCGCAAGUGACGGUACCUGGAGAAGAAGCACCGGCCAACUACGUGCCAGCAGCCGCGGUAAUACGUAGGGUGCGAGCGUUGUCCGGAAUUACUGGGCGUAAAGAGCUCGUAGGUGGUUUGUCGCGUUGUUCGUGAAAACUCACAGCUUAACUGUGGGCGUGCGGGCGAUACGGGCAGACUAGAGUACUGCAGGGGAGACUGGAAUUCCUGGUGUAGCGGUGGAAUGCGCAGAUAUCAGGAGGAACAGCCGGUGGC